ensembl:lncRNA
CGCCCCCUUUCGUCACCUCAGCCGCCCCCUCAUCAGUGCUGCAUUGGCGCCGGCUCUGCUGCGAGGUAGCAGGGCCAUAUUGACCGCAGCUUAUUCGUCGUUUGUUUCCCAGAUGGGUGCUGCACUCUGCGUUAGUACAUCCAGAAUCACUACAUAUAGCCUACAAGUAGGUGUAUGGUUAUUUUUGUCAGAUCAUGUCGCAGUUAUAAAUCAGGAUUUUAGCAGGUUAGGUUUGAAAGUGACUGCUGGUUAAUGGGUCACCUUUAGUCACUAUUUAUAUUGUUUCAUGUAUGACAUUAUUGGGGAUUCAGUUGUAUUAAAAUAUAAUAUGUGACAAUUUAGAGCACAGAGUGACAUCAGGGAUAUGCUAACUAUCAUGUGACGCCCUCCGGUGGGCUAUGCCGUGUCCGAAACAGAUCCCUUGGUCAUUCCUUCAUUUAUAGUAUUUGGAAUAUAGUGAAGAAGGUGAGAGAGCAGGGUAUGUCCCAAAUGACAUACUUCACAUGAUGCAAGUAAACUAAUCACUCUACCAUCAUCUCAAAUUAAACACUUAGGGGUUUUUUUUUUAAUUAAAGAAUACAAAACUUUAAUUACAGCAAAGGCAAAACUAGACAUUCACCAGAAAUACAUGAAAGCCACUGAACACAUUGAAACUAAACAGAGCAUCAUACAUUAAGUAAAUGUACAUUAAAUAGUUAAAAUAAAAAUAGAUAAAAUAACCCAAAUAGACAAAUUAAAAUUAGAGAUAAUUUAAAAAAUGGGGCAACACUAUUUCACAAUAAGUCAUAUGUUAUCAGCAAAUCAAACAGUUCUUUUUCAUUUUGACGUUUGAGAUCUUACAUGUUUUGUCCAACAUGACUUCAGUCAUCAUCAGACUAAUGCACAGUCAUCUCUGUAGGUGAUAUUUGCUUGCACAAUACCUGAUAGAGCCGCCUAUACUGAAACACUGAAAUAGGAGAUAGGGAGCAGUUUCAGACACAGCUGUAGUCUCACAAAUUCCUGUGGCAUAUAUAUGUAGGUCUAUUAAGGUCUUAUUGUACAAGAACUUAUGUCAUGUAAAAAAAAAAAAAAAAAUUAAAGUAGCUGCACUUCAUUUAAAUCAUUUUUAAAAUGUCAAUGUUAUGGAUGUAGUUUACAUUGACAUUGUUUUCAAAUUUCCAGUUGAAGUAAAUAGACUUUUCACAAGCUAUGGAGCAGAAGCCAGCAGGAGAUCUUUAAGUCGCCGUAAUCAUUCUGCAAGACCUCGCAGUAGCUUCACAAGAGUGUUCUGCUGCUUAAGUAGCAUGACACAGAGUGUUGCACCAGCAAAGUCUGAAAAGGAGGAACUGGAAGCUGCAGGACUUGGAGAGAAAAAAGUAACAUUUUUGUGAUGAAAGUAAUGCAGAAGAGUUUAAAAACUAUAUUCUAACGACAUAUUCAAAACUUGAAAACUGUGGGGCAUUUGAGAUUUUAAAAACAUCAGGCUUGACCCGAUCAGGGAAGCUGAAAUAUGGGACACGCUGUCAUCUACAUACGUCCUAUACUAAAAGACUUAGAUCUGUCCAGUUCUGUUGUCUGCGAAUCUCCUAUGCUUGGGCCAAUGGAGAGAUGUCUUACCUGUGAAAAACAGUUCAAUUUCAAUGAACUGAAGGGUGAACGAUUUAACCCUGGAGCAAGACUGGAUGUAAUUUUUGUUGAUGAUUCAAAAGCAGCAGAGGGAGCCGUGGACGGUGGUGGUCCAACUAGAGAGUACCUCAGAUUGCUCCUUAAGGCUGUCCAACAGUCUAGCAUAUUUGAGGGCCCUGAAAAUAGUUAAAGGUUGUGGCUUGACACAGAAGAAAGGAUCUUUCUCCAGGUUUGUGGUAAACCCACCUCUCCUCCAACCUUGGAUGAAGUAGAUGAUGAGACCUUUAAAGAGAUGUUUUGCAAAAUAAAAGAAGAUGAUAAAAUUGCGAGUCCAUGAUUGGUGCCUUUAGAUCCAUUAGUACUCUUAAGCACCGGGACAUGCUGGUACAGUCAGCUGUGGAGUAUUAAAGUAUGUUGAUGGGAGAUGCAGGGUUGCACUGCAACAGUUUGUUGAUGGUUUUAACACCCUUGGACUUCUUCAAGAAAUGCAGAUACACACAGAUCUGUUUCAUACCGUGUUUGUUGAAGACAAAAAACCACUGAGAUCAUCAGACCUGACAUCACUUUUUGAAGUAAACCUGUCAGAUCAAGACACCUAUAAGAGAGAACUAGAGACAAGGACUUUGUGCUACUGGAGAGACUGGAUCAUUGAUGUUAAA